UUUAAGGAUCAAAUCCUUAGUGACAUGGCAAGGCGUGAGUGGUCCUGGGGGUUGUGUUUCGCGAAAAAAAAUUCAGUCUCUUUUUCCAUCACGAAAAAAAAAUUCUCUCGAAAGCGAUUUGACGAUUUGGCGAUUGUGAAAAGGUGAAGGUAAAUCGAGAGGCGAGCAAGAGGAUUAAAAGCAAUGGGAAUGUUGAGUUCGAGGACACUGUUCUCCAUCUUCUCGUUAAUCUUGCGGACGAUCUUAAGUCUCUGUUUAUGAACAAGCCUUUGGUGCGAGCGAGGAAGCGGUGCUGUUGAAGAUGAGUACACUGACGGAGGAGGGUGUGAUGUCUGUGAAGAACGCCGCCUGUGAGAGGCUGUUGGAUCAGAGGGAGUAAACCCCACAACUCUUUCACAAAAAAAUUAAAAAGAUGAGUGCUUUAGAAGAAUCGAAGGUCUAUAUUUUUUUGUGGCUUCUCUGCUUUUCAAUCUUCUUCACUUCGAGUUUCCAGGCAAAUGAGAUAACAACACCAUCUAAAGAAGAAGGAGAGACGAGGAUGGUGCCAUUAAUGGAGGAGAAGUUUAUGGUGAUGAAUGAGACAAGAAGGAAGCUUGGGAGUUUCCAGAUUAACUGCAAUAACUGCAAUAUCCCAAAUUAUGUGAACUCGUGUAGUUUAUGUGAACUCGUGUAACAAGAAACUUGCCUUCACCUUGUUGCUUUGCAAUUAACUGCAAUAUUGCUCAGUAAUGCUCACAUUUCCUUAUAGCUUUUCGUCAGAAUGUUUUCUAAAUCAUUUUCUUGUUUUUUUGUAGAUUGUGGGAACACCAAACUACAUGUGCCCUGAACUUCUUGCAGAUAUACCUUACGGGUUGCUGUAUGUUUGAAGUAGCUGCACAUCAACCUGCCUUCAAGGCUCCUGUAAGAACACAUUCUCAUUUUUCGUCUUGUGUUAAAUCUGAAAUUUCUUUCGAACUUUUUUGAAAAUUUAUGUUUCUUGGAAACAGGACAUGGCUGGACUCAUCAACAAGAUUAACCGCUCUUCACUUUCUCCUCUCCCUGUCAUGUAUUCCUCUUCAAUAAAGAGACUGAUUAAAAGUAUGUUGCGCAAGAUCCCUGAACAUAGACCAACAUAGACCAACAAGGACACAAGCUCAAUGUUUCGUGGCCCGUAACUCCUAGCAUUCAUCGUUAAGAAGAAGCACCAUGCCGGUACCUUGGCCAUCUAAUUGGACAUGAAGGCGAAGGAAGUUUGUUUCUUUAGGUAUACUUUCUUUGUGACACAUUCUAAUUGGUUUUACAGUAGAUUCUUCAUAGGAGGGACAAUGGAUUCAGAAGUAGUUUUAUUGUUUAUAUUACUGAUGACUAUUUAUUUUCUAAAAACUCAUAAAAGGAGUUCACCAUUGGACACACAAAAUAGUUUGGAGUCCUUAACUA